AUACGUAGGUGGCAAGCGUUGUCCGGAAUUAUUGGGCGUAAAGCGCAUGUAGGCGGUGCCUUAAGUCUGUCGUGAAACUGCGGGGCCUAACCCCGUAUGGCGAUGGAAACUGGGGUACUUGAGUGCAGGAGAGGAAAGGGGAACUCCCAGUGUAGCGGUGAAAUGCGUAGAUAUUGGGAAGAACACCGGUGGCGAAGGCGUCUUUCUGGACUGUGUCUGACGCUGAGAUGCGAAAGCCAGGGUAGCGAACGGGAUUAGAUGCCCCGGUAGUCCUGGCCGUAAACGAUGGGUACUAGGUGUGGGAGGUAUCGACCCCUUCCGUGCCGGAGUUAACGCAAUAAGUACCCCGCCUGGGGAGUACGGCCGCAAGGCUUAAACUCAAAGGAAUUGACGGGG
rnacentral:rRNA from 1 species